UAAUACCAGCUCCCCGAGUGGUGGGGACGAUUAUUGGGCCUAAAGCGUCCGUAGCCGGUCCGGUAAGUCUCCCGUUAAAUCCAGCGAUCUAAUCGUUGGGCUGCGGGAGAUACUGCUGGACUAGGGAGCGGGAGAGGCCGACGGUAUUCCCGGGGUAGGGGUAAAAUCCUAUAAUCCCGGGAGGACCACCAGUGGCGAAGGCGGUCGGCUGGAACGCGUCCGACGGUGAGGGACGAAAGCCGGGGGAGCGAACCGGAUUAGAUACCCGGGUAGUCCCGGCUGUAAACGAUGCGGGCUAGGUGUUGGGGUGGCUACGAGCCACCUCAGUGCCGCAUGGAAGCAAUUAAGCCCGCCGCCUGGGGAGUACGGCCGCAAGGCUG
rnacentral:rRNA from 1 species